rnacentral:rRNA from 1 species
CGCGAGCUGGGUUUAGAACGUCGUGAGACAGUUCGGUCCCUAUCUGCCGUGGGCGUUGGAAAAUUGAAAGGGGCUGCUCCUAGUACGAGAGGACCGGAGUGGACGAACCUCUGGUGUUCGGGUUGUCAUGCCAAUGGCAUUGCCCGGUAGCUAAGUUCGGAAUCGAUAACCGCUGAAAGCAUCUAAGCGGGAAGCGAGCCUU